AGAAGAAGAAGGAGAACGCGCUCUCGAGGGCGGCAGUGAGCCAUUUUGUUUCGGAACGUAGUUGGGGUGGAAAUCAAUUGUUGUCUUGAGAAGAUCCGUUUCUUAAAAAGCAAAAGACAAAAACAUAAUUCGGCAAGAUUUAACGCCGAGUAAGAAAGCCAAUAUCAGUGAGCUGGGUGUGAUUAGUUUUUUGUUUAUUCUCAGGAAGGCAAACAGCACUCGACAGGCGGCAGCACCAUGAGUUAUGGAAGGCCUCCGCCCGACGUCGACGGCAUGACUUCCCUCAAAGUGGACAACCUGACGUACCGCACCACGCCGGAGACCCUGCGGCACGUUUUCGAGAAGUACGGCCGCGUCGGGGACGUGUACAUCCCGCGAGACCGCUACUCCAAGGACAGCCGAGGCUUCGCCUUCGUCCGCUUCCACGACAAGCGGGACGCGGAGGACGCCAUGGACGCCAUGGAUGGCGCGCUCCUGGACGGGCGCGAGCUGCGGGUCCAAAUGGCUCGCUACGGCAGACCCCCGGAUUCGCAUUAUAGCGGCGGGCGCCGAGGGAGUGGGGGCGGCGGAGGAGGAGGGCCACCACGGAGGUAUGGAGGCUCCGGUCGCCGAAGCAGAAGCCCCCGGCCUCGAAGACGCAGCAGGUCCCGUUCUCGUUCCCGCUCUCGCUCCAGAAGCCGAUCCCGCUACAGCCGCUCCCGUUCCAGGUCCUACUCCAGAUCCAAGUCUCGCUCCCCUAGGAACAAGAAAGCCAACGCCAAGUCCCGCUCCAAGUCCCGCUCUAGGUCCCGCUCCAGGUCUGCCAGCCGCUCCGUCUCCCCUCCGAAAAGAGCGUCUGCGUCCGGGUCCAGAUCUAAAAGCCCACCCAAGUCCGCAGCCGAGAAUGGAGGAGACUCGCCCUAGUUGGCUGCAACUUGUGUUAAAGACGGAUGAUAAUGUUCCAGGUCAAGAAGCCGCUUGUUCCUGGACAAGGCGCAGUUGUGUAGCAGUUGUUGCUAAGGUGUUGCUGUGUGUUGCUGGUGCCCUCAGCGCUGCAGUAUUCUUCCCUCAGCGGUUUUUUACUUGAAUUGACUGGAGCUGUGCAGCUGCAACCUUCUGGAAGCGCCGCAGAUCCAUGUUGGUCGUCUUUUAAUAAACUACUACCGUAUUGCACACAAGCUUAAGCAUCCCUCACUUUAAGGUGACAUCAUUUGGAAAUCAAAACGAGGGCUCAAUUGUAAUGAAAAAGUUUAUCGCCAUUCGCUGCUGUCGGGGGAAACCUUGCUUCUCCCAAAAAAGACACAUUUUCAAAUUCGUGUACCUCGUGUUGCUAUGAGGAUGCUAAUCAUCAAAAUGUAGGUGCAUUUCAGCACUUGCCACUUUGGCGCGUCAAAUUUUAUAUGUACAUAUAAAAUAUAAAUUGGUAUGUUGGGAAGUAUUUUGCUGAUGGUCACUGCUGUGGGGAGCAAAGGAGAAGUGGUUGAGUUAGGUGGGGAUAAUUUGAACUUGGUUGAAGACCAAGAGGGAAAAUGCAAAAACCUGAUGAGACUAUGAAACAGGAGUCCAAAAAAAAGACCGUUUUUCAUGAAAAGAGGAAAGAAUGUUGAGAAUAGCUCGUCACAAUGACCCCAGGAGAAAAGUUGUCUGCUGGAGGAAUAAGAGGGUCUGUUGUGGUUGGGACAAAGAACUUUGAAGUUCAAGCAAUCAUCAAAGACCAUCUAAUUUCUCCAGGUUGCAAUGGGGGUGUAUCAAGUAAAGAUGGCAGGUUCAUGACAACAGUGCGGGUGAAGUCUCUUGCCUUCAUGAAGUCAGACCCCUUUGCUGAUGCAACUAAGGGUGAUGACUGCCUCCCAACUGGGAAAGAA